ACCGCCCUAGCUGGAUCCAAUUCCUAGAUUCACCAUUGAUUUUGACAUGUGAUGAUUCUCCCUAAGUAUGUCAACCUUCAAACUUCAACUAGAUUAAUAACCUCACUAGAAAUCUAAAUCAACAAUUAAGUAUCCAAGCUUAGCAGGAUAGAAACAAUGCUUAUGGUUGUUUUGCAGCUACCUUAACACACUUUUUCUUUUCUUUUCUUUAAUUUUCUAUUUUGUCCC
rnacentral:lncRNA from 1 species